rnacentral:rRNA from 1 species
UCGGAUGUCUAAGCCAUGCGAGUCAUUGUAGCAUACAAGGCAUACGGCUCAGUAACGCGUAGUCAACCUAACCUAUGGACGGGAAUAACCUCGGGAAACUGAGAGUAAUGCCCGAUAGAACACUAUACCUGGAAUGGUUUGUGUUCCAAAUGAUUUAUCGCCAUAGGAUGGGACUGCGGCCUAUCAGUUUGUUGGUGAGGUAAUGGCCCACCAAGACUAUUACAGGUACGGGCUCUGAGAGGAGUAGCCCGGAGAUGGGUACUGAGACACGGACCCAGGCCCUAUGGGGCGCAGCAGGCGAGAAAACUUUGCAAUGUGCGAAAGCACGACAAGGUUAAUCCGAGUGAUUUGUGCUAAACGAAUCUUUUGUUAGUCCUAGAAACACUAACGAAUAAGGGGUGGGCAAGUUCUGGUGUCAGCCGCCGCGGUAAAACCAGCACCUCAAGUGGUCAGGAUGAUUAUUGGGCCUAAAGCAUCCGUAGCCGGCUCUGUAAGUUUUCGGUUAAAUCUGUACGCUUAACGUACAGGCUGCCGGGAAUACUGCAGAGCUAGGGAGUGGGAGAGGUAGACGGUACUCGGUAGGAAGUGGUAAAAUGCUUUGAUCUAUCGAUGACCACCUGUGGCGAAAGCGGUCUACCAGACACGUCCGACGGUGAGGGAUGAAGCUGGGGGAGCAAACCGGGAUUAGAUACCCGGUAGUCCCAGCUGUAAAACUAUGCAACUUCAGUUGAAUGCAAUGUCUUGUGGCCAUGCAGUGCCUGCCAAGCA